GUGGGGAAUCUUCCGCAAUGGACGAAAGUCUGACGGUGCAACGCCGCGUGAGUGAAGAAGGUUUUCGGAUCGUAAAGCUCUUUCGUUAGGGACGAACGUGCUCUUUGUGAAUAAUGAGGAGUAAUGACGGUACCUAAAUAAGAAGCCACGGCUAACUACGUGCCAGCAGCCGCGGUAAUACGUAGGUGGCAAGCGUUGUCCGGAAUUAUUGGGCGUAAAGCGCGCGCAGGCGGGAUAUCAAGUCUGUCUUAAAAGUGCGAGGCUCAACCUCGUGAGGGGACAGAAACUGGUAUUCUUGAGUGUCGGAGAGGAAAGUGGAAUUCCAAGUGUAGCGGUGAAAUGCGUAGAGAUUUGGAAGAACACCAGUGGCGAAGGCGACUUUCUGGACGAUGUCUGACGCUGAGGCGCGAAAGCUAGGGGAGCGAACGGGAUUAGAAACCCUUGUAGUCC
rnacentral:rRNA from 1 species